rnacentral:rRNA from 1 species
UAGGGAAUCUUCCACAAUGGACGCAAGUCUGAUGGAGCAACGCCGCGUGAGUGAAGAAGGUCUUCGGAUCGUAAAACUCUGUUGUUAGAGAAGAACACGAGUGAGAGUAACUGUUCAUUCGAUGACGGUAUCUAACCAGCAAGUCACGGCUAACUACGUGCCAGCAGCCGCGGUAAUACGUAGGUGGCAAGCGUUAUCCGGAUUUAUUGGGCGUAAAGAGAGUGCAGGCGGUUUUCUAAGUCUGAUGUGAAAGCCUUCGGCUUAACCGGAGAAGUGCAUCGGAAACUGGAUAACUUGAGUGCAGAAGAGGGUAGUGGAACUCCAUGUGUAGCGGUGGAAUGCGUAGAUAUAUGGAAGAACACCAGUGGCGAAGGCGGCUACCUGGUCUGCAACUGACGCUGAGACUCGAAGGCAUGGGUAGCGAACAGGAUUAGAUACCCUGGUAGUCCAUGCCGUAAACGAUGAGUGCUAGGUGUUGGAGGGUUUCCGCCCUUCAGUGCCGGAGCUAACGCAUUAAGCACUCCGCCUGGGGAGUACGACCGCAAGGUUG